rnacentral:misc_RNA from 1 species
GAUGAAGAACGCAGCGAAAUGCGAUACUUGGUGUGAAUUGCAGAAUCCCGUGAACCAUCGAGUCUUUGAACGCAAGUUGCGCCCGAAGCCAUUAGGCCGAGGGCACGCCUGCCUGGGCGUCACACGUCGUUGCCCCCCCAUCUACUCCUUCGGGAUUGCGGGGGGCGGAUGAUGGCCUCCCGUGCGCCUCGCCGCGCGGUUGGCAUAAAUGCCAAGUCCUCGGCGCCGCACGCCACGACAAUCGGUGGUUGCGAAACCUCGGUUGCCCGUCGUGUGCGGUCGUCGCGCAUCGAGGGCUCGAAAAAAUUGCCGGGUUCCGGCUCGGCUUUCAACGCGACCCCAGGUCAGGCGGGGUUACCCGCUGAAUUUAAGCAUAUCAAUAAGCGGAGGA